rnacentral:rRNA from 1 species
UACGUAGGGUGCAAGCGUUAAUCGGAAUUACUGGGCGUAAAGCGUGCGCAGGCGGCUUUGCAAGACAGAUGUGAAAUCCCCGGGCUUAACCUGGGAACUGCAUUUGUGACUGGCAGGCUAGAGUAUGGCAGAGGGGGGUAGAAUUCCACGUGUAGCAGUGAAAUGCGUAGAGAUGUGGAGGAAUACCGAUGGCGAAGGCAGCCCCCUGGGCCAAUACUGACGCUCAUGCACGAAAGCGUGGGGAGCAAACAGG